rnacentral:rRNA from 1 species
AAGGUUGAAACUCAAAAGAAUUGACGGGGGCCCGCACAAGCGGUGGAGCAUGUGGUUUAAUUCGAAGCUACGCGAAGAACCUUACCAGGUCUUGACAUCUUCUGCCAACCUAAGAGAUUAGGCGUUCCCUUCGGGGACAGAAUGACAGGUGGUGCAUGGUUGUCGUCAGCUCGUGUCGUGAGAUGUUGGGUUAAGUCCCGCAACGAGCGCAACCCUUAUUACUAGUUGCCAGCAUUCAGUUGGGCACUCUAGUGAGACUGCCGGUGACAAACCGGAGGAAGGUGGGGACGACGUCAAAUCAUCAUGCCCCUUAUGACCUGGGCUACACACGUGCUACAAUGGAUGGUACAACGAGUCGCGAAACCGCGAGGUUUAGCUAAUCUCUUAAAACCAUUCUCAGUUCGGACUGUAGGCUGCAACUCGCCUACACGAAGUCGGAAUCGCUAGUAAUCGCGGAUCAGCAUGCCGCGGUGAAUACGUUCCCGGGCCUUGUACACACCGCCCGUCACACCAUGAGAGUUUGUAACACCCAAAGCCCCGGUGGGGUAAC